UAGUCCACGCCGUAAACUAUGGAUACUAGGUGUUUGGAGGCGUUAACCCUCUGAGUACCAAAGCUAACGCAUUAAGUAUCCCGCCUGGGGAGUACGGUCGCAAGGCUAAAACUCAAAGGAAUUGACGGGGGCCCGCACAAGCGGUGGAGUAUGUGGUUUAAUUCGAUGCAACGCGCAGAACCUUACCUACCCUUAACAUCCCGGGACAACCAUAGAGAUAUGGCUUUCUCUUCGGAGACUCGGUGAUAGGUGCUGCAUGGCUGUCGUCAGCUCGUGUCGUAAGAUGUCUGGUUAAGUCCAAUAACGAGCGCAACCCUUAUCUUUAGUUACCAUCAUUAAGUUGGGGACUCUAGAGAGACUGCCGGUGUUAAACCGGAGGAAGGUGGGGAUGACGUCAAGUCCUCAUGGCCCUUACGGGUAGGGCUACACACGUACUACAAUGGCAGAAACAGACUGACGCAAGACCGCGAGGUGGAGCAAAAUCAGUAAAACACUGUCUCAGUCCGGAUUGGAGUCUGCAAUUCGACU
rnacentral:rRNA from 1 species